rnacentral:sRNA from 1 species
UAUCUAACCAAAUCUCGAAUGCCGUUGGGGGGUGUGUGCAUGUUCGAUUACACAUCACCUUCGCGCCCGGUGGCCGAAGAGUUGAUAUGAAAUAUGGGGCACGAUGCUAUCUUCUCAUGGUUGAUAUCGAGUUUGAAGCUCACAUUGAAUCCUGCCUCGUCACGGGAGGUUUGCUGUUGUCCUUUCUGAUGUCUGGUCUGGAGACUGCAACACCGUUCCGGUGAGCUGUAUGUAAACCGAUAAUAUUUGUUAUGGUUCAGUUCUUGUGUUCUAUGGAGCUGGGAUGGUAGAGCUGGAGGGUUACAAGUUGGUUUCGUUGAUCUCUAGGCUGGUGUGGCAGGUAUCACUGUUUUAGUAUUCUACCGCAUAUUUCGGACAACUUUGACUGAGUUUGUAACUACCUAC